UCACCAGUGGCUUAGUGGUUAGAGCGUCCGCCUCGGAUGCGAGUGGUUAUUGGUUCGAACCGCGGCCGAGUUAU